AGAGUUUGAUCCUGGCUCAGGAUGAACGCUGGCGGCGUGCCUAAUACAUGCAAGUCGAACGAGGUGCUUUUGUAGCAAUACGAGAGUAUCCUAGUGGCGAACGGGUGAGUAACGCGUUGGUGACCUACCCCAAAGUGUGGGAUAACAGUCCGAAAGGAUUGGCUAAUACCGCAUGUGGGUCAUUGGGUUUAAAAAACUUGAUGACUUAAAGGGAGCAAUUCCCUUUUGGGAGGGGACCUGCGGUCCCCUUCCACUAAUUGGGGGAGGGAAAUGGCUUCCCCCAGGGUUACAACGGGGAAGGGGACCUGAAAAGGGGGACCCCCCCCCAAUGGGACUGAAAAAAGGGCCAUACACCUACGGGUGGGAGCCAUAGGGAAAAUUGGACAAUGGGGGAAAACCUGAUGGGCAACCCCCCCUGGGGGAAGAAAGGCUUCCGGGCCUAAAGCACUUUUUUUUUAGAUGAAAAAGGACAGUAUCGCAGAAUAAGUCUCGGCUAAUACUUGCCGCAGCCCCGGUAAAACUAAGAAGGGGACGUAUCCUGAUUUACUGGGGCUAAACCCGUGCCGUGGGUUCGUAAAUUGGCGUGAAAUCUCCCCGCUCACUGGGAGAGGUCGUCCCUACUCCCGACCUUUGAGAAGAAAAGAAGAUGGAAUUCCCGGUGUAUGGUGAAAUGCGUAGAUAUCGGGAGGAACACACAUGCGAAGGGCAACUUCUGUUCUGUUUUUUGACCUCCCACCCCGCCAGCUAUGUAUUAACGGGAUUGAGAGCCCCCUGUAAUCUAACCGUAACGAAUGUGAAUGUGGCGGUGGGUGGGUUAAACCUCCCACCGGGGCAGAAAGCAAAACGUAAAUAUUCUCACCCCCGGGGGGAUUCGGCCCCCAAGGUUAAAAUUAAAGGGAUUGGGGGGGCCCCCCACAAGCAGGGGGGGGUUUGUUUAAUUGGAUGUACAGGAAGACCUUCCCCCGGGCUUGACAUACGGGGGGGGGGGUUCAAAAGGUGCCCGCCCCCCAAGGGACCCUAAACCGGUUUUCCAGGGUUUUCUUCAGUUUGUUUCGGAAAAUUUUGGUUAAAUUCGGUAAAGGGGGGGCAACCCUUGUUGGGGUUUUAUUAUGUGCCACGGGGGCCCCCCGGUUUUAAACCGGGAGGAAAGGGGGGGGAUGACUUCAAUUCACCAUGCCCUUUUAUCCCGGGGGCUACCCCCCCGCUUCAAAUGGCCAGUCAAAGGGGUGGUUAACCCGGGAGGGGGAGCCCAUUCCCCCCAAAACCUGUCCUCAGGUUCAGAUUGCAGGGUGCCAACUCGCCUGCAUGAAGCCGGAGUUGCUAGUAAACGCGCGUCAGCUAUAGUGCGUUGAAUACGUUCUCGGGCCUUGUACACACCGCCCGUCACGUCAUGGGAGCUGGUAACACCUGAAGCCGGUAGCCUAACCGCAAGGAGGGCGCCGUCGAAGGUGGGGCUGGUGACUGGGACGAAGUCGUAACAAGGUAACC
rnacentral:rRNA from 1 species